rnacentral:rRNA from 1 species
AUUGGGUGUUUAGUGGCAUGUCCUGGACCCGAAGCGGGGUGAUCUACCCAUGGCCAGUGUGAAGCAGCUGUAAGAGGUUGUGGAGGCGCGAACCCACGUAGGUUAAAAACUGCGGGGAUGAGUUGUGGGUAGGGGUGAAAGGCCAAUCAAACUCCGUGAUAGCUGGUUCUCCCCGAAAUGCAUUUAGGUGCAGCGUUGUAUGAGCUUGCCGGAGGUAGAGCUACUGGUUGGUUGAGCGGGACUAUCAUCUUAGCAACAUCAGCCAAACUCCGAAUGCCGGUUGAAGUGUUGUACAGCAGUG